UUAAGCGACUAAGCGUACACGGUGGAUGCCCUGGCAGUCAGAGGCGAUGAAGGACGUGCUAAUCUGCGAAAAGCGUCGGUAAGGUGAUAUGAACCGUUAUAGCCGGCGAUGUCCGAAUGGGGAAACCCAGUGUGAUUCGUCACACUAUCGUUAACUGAAUACAUAGGUUAACGAGGCGAACCGGGGGAACUGAAACAUCUAAGUACCCCGAGGAAAAGAAAUCAACCGAGAUUCCCCCAGUAGCGGCGAGCGAACGGGGAGCAGCCCAGAGUCUGAAUCAGCUUGUGUGUUAGUGGAACGGUCUGGAAAGUCCGACGGUACAGGGUGAUAGUCCCGUACACCAAAAUGCACAGGUUGUGAACUCGAAGAGUAGGGCGGGACACGUGGUAUCCUGUCUGAAUAUGGGGGGACCAUCCUCCAAGGCUAAAUACUCCUGACUGACCGAUAGUGAACCAGUACCGUGAGGGAAAGGCGAAAAGAACCCCGGCGAGGGGAGUGAAAAAGAACCUGAAACCGUGUACGUACAAGCAGUGGGAGCACCUUCGGGUGUGACUGCGUACCUUUUGUAUAAUGGGUCAGCGACUUAUAUUCUGUAGCAAGGUUAACCGUAUAGGGGAGCCGCAGGGAAACCGAGUCUUAACUGGGCGUUAAGUUGCAGGGUAUAGACCCGAAACCCGGUGAUCUAGCCAUGGGCAGGUUGAAGGUUGGGUAACACUAACUGGAGGACCGAACCGACUAAUGUUGAAAAAUUAGCGGAUGACUUGUGGCUGGGGGUGAAAGGCCAAUCAAACCGGGAGAUAGCUGGUUCUCCCCGAAAGCUAUUUAGGUAGCGCCUCGUGAAUUCAUCUUCGGGGGUAGAGCACUGUUUCGGCUAGGGGGUCAUCCCGACUUACCAACCCGAUGCAAACUACGAAUACCGAAGAAUGUUAUCACGGGAGACACACGGCGGGUGCUAACGUCCGUCGUGAAGAGGGAAACAACCCAGACCGCCAGCUAAGGUCCCAAAGUCAUGGUUAAGUGGGAAACGAUGUGGGAAGGCACAGACAGCCAGGAUGUUGGCUUAGAAGCAGCCAUCAUUUAAAGAAAGCGUAAUAGCUCACUGGUCGAGUCGGCCUGCGCGGAAGAUGUAACGGGGCUAAACCAUGCACCGAAGCUGCGGCAGCGACACUAUGUGUUGUUGGGUAGGGGAGCGUUCUGUAAGCCUGCGAAGGUGUGCUGUGAGGCAUGCUGGAGGUAUCAGAAGUGCGAAUGCUGACAUAAGUAACGAUAAAGCGGGUGAAAAGCCCGCUCGCCGGAAGACCAAGGGUUCCUGUCCAACGUUAAUCGGGGCAGGGUGAGUCGACCCCUAAGGCGAGGCCGAAAGGCGUAGUCGAUGGGAAACAGGUUAAUAUUCCUGUACUUGGUGUUACUGCGAAGGGGGGACGGAGAAGGCUAUGUUAGCCGGGCGACGGUUGUCCCGGUUUAAGCAUGUAGGCUGAUUGUCCAGGCAAAUCCGGAUAAUCAAGGCUGAGGUGUGAUGACGAGGCACUACGGUGCUGAAGUAACAAAUGCCCUGCUUCCAGGAAAAGCCUCUAAGCAUCAGGUAACAUUAAAUCGUACCCCAAACCGACACAGGUGGUCAGGUAGAGAAUACCAAGGCGCUUGAGAGAACUCGGGUGAAGGAACUAGGCAAAAUGGUGCCGUAACUUCGGGAGAAGGCACGCUGGUGUGUAGGUGAAGUCCCUGCGGAUGGAGCUGAGACCAGUCGAAGAUACCAGCUGGCUGCAACUGUUUAUUAAAAACACAGCACUGUGCAAACACGAAAGUGGACGUAUACGGUGUGACGCCUGCCCGGUGCCGGAAGGUUAAUUGAUGGGGUUAUCCGUAAGGAGAAGCUCUUGAUCGAAGCCCCGGUAAACGGCGGCCGUAACUAUAACGGUCCUAAGGUAGCGAAAUUCCUUGUCGGGUAAGUUCCGACCUGCACGAAUGGCGUAAUGAUGGCCAGGCUGUCUCCACCCGAGACUCAGUGAAAUUGAACUCGCUGUGAAGAUGCAGUGUACCCGCGGCAAGACGGAAAGACCCCGUGAACCUUUACUAUAGCUUGACACUGAACAUUGAGCCUUGAUGUGUAGGAUAGGUGGGAGGCUUUGAAGCGUGGACGCCAGUCUGCGUGGAGCCAACCUUGAAAUACCACCCUUUAAUGUUUGAUGUUCUAACGUUGGCCCCUUACCGGGGUUGCGGACAGUGUCUGGUGGGUAGUUUGACUGGGGCGGUCUCCUCCCAAAGCGUAACGGAGGAGCACGAAGGUUAGCUAAUCCUGGUCGGACAUCAGGAGGUUAGUGCAAUGGCAUAAGCUAGCUUGACUGCGAGCGUGACGGCGCGAGCAGGUGCGAAAGCAGGUCAUAGUGAUCCGGUGGUUCUGAAUGGAAGGGCCAUCGCUCAACGGAUAAAAGGUACUCCGGGGAUAACAGGCUGAUACCGCCCAAGAGUUCAUAUCGACGGCGGUGUUUGGCACCUCGAUGUCGGCUCAUCACAUCCUGGGGCUGAAGUAGGUCCCAAGGGUAUGGCUGUUCGCCAUUUAAAGUGGUACGCGAGCUGGGUUUAGAACGUCGUGAGACAGUUCGGUCCCUAUCUGCCGUGGGCGCUGGAGAAUUGAGGGGGGCUGCUCCUAGUACGAGAGGACCGGAGUGGACGCAUCACUGGUGUUCGGGUUGUCAUGCCAAUGGCACUGCCCGGUAGCUAAAUGCGGAAGAGAUAAGUGCUGAAAGCAUCUAAGCACGAAACUUGCCCCGAGAUGAGUUCUCCCUGAGACUUUAAGUCUCCUGAAGGAACGUUGAAGACGACGACGUUGAUAGGCCGGGUGUGUAAGCGCAGCGAUGCGUUGAGCUAACCGGUACUAAUGAACCGUGAGGCUUAACCUU
rnacentral:rRNA from 1 species